CGCGCCCGCCCCUUUCCCGCCGCUGCUGCACCUGAGGCGGCGGCGCGCGCGGCGCAGCCUGCGGUUUCGCCGAGGAGCGGCGGCCGCGGCCGAGGAGCGGCGCCUUGGGCAGGGAGCGGGGGCAGGAGCGGAGAGCCCCGGGCAGGAGCGGAGAGCCCCGGAACCGCUGCGGAGCCCCGGGCAGGAGCGGAGCCCCGGGCAGGAGCGGAGAGCCCCGGAACCGCUGCGGAGCCCCGGAACCGCUGCGGAGCCCCGGGCACAGCCCCAGAAGCGCUGCCGGGGCUGGGCAGGAGGGGACAGCGCUGCUGUGGUUUGGCUUUGGCAGCCGUGCAGGAAUUAUUAGUGAGAGCGGCCCGCAGGGGGAAGGGCACCGAGCCUUUUGGCUCUUUCCCGAGGAGUUCAGGGGUGCUCCCACAGCUUUCUGUUCCUUUCCUAAAUCCUUCCAUCCACAAGCUCUGCCUGGGGUUUGUUUCCUCACCUACGAACGGCCCCACACAGUGGAGGGCGCUGGAUUUGAGACUCUGCCAAAAAAAUCUCGGCACCCUCUCUGCCCCGGAGCUGCAAAUGCCGAAUUCCAGAGCGUUGGACUUGCUGUGGAUUUCUGGGCUCCAUCCCGGGAAAACUCAGCUCCUGGUGCUCCAGCUGCCCAGAAAGGGGCAAAUCUCACUUCCCAAAUUCCCAAAUUUUCCUCAAUUCCCCAGCUCGGAGUCACUGAAGCCACCGCUGUGACCGCACAGGGGAGAAACCUCAGUCCUGUUCACUUUUUAUUCCAUUACCCAUCCGAAAAAUAAAAUAAAAUAAAAUCCCUCCAA